CGCUGGCGGCGUGCCUAAUACAUGCAAGUCGAACGGUCUUUCUAUGGAAGCUUGCUUCCACUGAGAAGAUAGUGGCGAACGGGUGAGUAACACGUGGGUAACCUGCCCAUAAGAGGGGGAUAACAUCCGGAAACGGGUGCUAAUACCGCAUAGUUUUCUUGAUCGCAUGAUUGAGAAAGGAAAGAUGGCCUUUGUGCUGUCGCUUAUGGAUGGACCCGCGGCGUAUUAGUUAGUUGGUGAGGUAACGGCUCACCAAGACGAUGAUACGUAGCCGACCUGAGAGGGUGAUCGGCCACAUUGGGACUGAGACACGGCCCAAACUCCUACGGGAGGCAGCAGUAGGGAAUCUUCCGCAAUGGACGAAAGUCUGACGGAGCAACGCCGCGUGAGUGAAGAAGGUUUUUCCGGAUCGUAAAACUCUGUUGUCAGAGAAGAACAAGUUGGAGAGUAACUGCUCCAGCCUUGACGGUAUCUGACCAGAAAGCCACGGCUAACUACGUGCCAGCCGCAGC
rnacentral:rRNA from 1 species